rnacentral:rRNA from 1 species
UACGAAGGGGGCUAGCGUUGCUCGGAAUCACUGGGCGUAAAGCGCACGUAGGCGGCUUCUUAAGUCAGGGGUGAAAUCCUGGAGCUCAACUCCAGAACUGCCUUUGAUACUGGGAGGCUCGAGUCCGGGAGAGGUGAGUGGAACUGCGAGUGUAGAGGUGAAAUUCGUAGAUAUUCGCAAGAACACCAGUGGCGAAGGCGGCCUUCUGGACCAAUACUGACGCUCAUGCACGAAAGCGUGGGGAGCAAACAGG